UACGUAGGGCGCAAGCGUUAUCCGGAAUCAUUGGGCGUAAAGCGCACGUAGGCGGUCUGUUAUGUCGGAUGUGAAAGCCCUUGGCUUAACUGAGGAAGUGCAUCCGAAACUGGCAGGCUAGAGUACUAAAGAGGGUCGCGGAAUUCCCGGUGUAGAGGUGAAAUUCGUAGAUAUCGGGAGGAACACCGGUGGCGAAGGCGGCGACCUGGGUAGAUACUGACGCUGAGGUGCGAAAGCGUGGGGGGCAAACAGG
rnacentral:rRNA from 1 species